rnacentral:rRNA from 1 species
AUUCCGGUUGAUCCUGCCGGAGGCCAUUGCUCUUGGGGUCCGAUUUAGCCAUGCUAGUCGCACGGGUUCAGACCCGUGGCAAAUAGCUCAGUAGCACGUGGCCAAUCUACCCUCCGGAUCAGCACACCCUCGGGAAACUGAGGCCAAUUCUGUAUACGGCUCCCGACCUGGAAUGGUGGGAGCCAGAAACGCUCCGGCGCCGGAGGAUGAGGCUGCGGCCGAUUAGGUUGACGGUGGGGUAAUGGCCCACCGUGCCGAUAAUCGGUCUGGGUCAUGAGAGUGAGAACCCAGAGACGGACUCUGAGACAAGAUUCCGGGCCCUACGGGGCGCAGCAGGCGCGAAACCUUUACACUGCACGCCAGUGCGAUAAGGGGACCCCAAGUGCGCAGGCAUAGUGCCUGCGCUUUUCUGGACUGUAGGGCGGUCCAGGAACAAGGGCUGGGCAAGACCGGUGCCAGCCGCCGCGGUAAUACCGGCAGCCCAAGUGAUGGCCGCUGUUAUUGGGCCUAAAGCGUCCGUAGCUGG